UUUGUGGUUAAUGAUGCACACUCUUUCCCCGACUUAUCGACAGUGGUGAUAACAGAUUUGUAAAAUAAGCCAAUUACUUCUGAAACCACAAG